UUGUGGAGGAGGACGCCGAAGGUGGGGCUAAUGACUGGGGUGAAGUCGUAACAAGGUAGCCGUACCGGAGGGUGCGGCUGGAUCACCUCCUAACAGGGAGACAACAAAAUGUUUAAUAUUAUUAUUUUGUCACCUUAGGUCGAUCGGUAUCUCACGUUUUUAAUUUAUUAAGAAUUUCAUUUCCUAAGUUUUUCUAGGUCACACCCAUUAUUUUUCCUGGGCCAUUAGCUCAGGUGGUUAGAGCGCACCCCUGAUAAGGGUGAGGUCCCUGGCUCAAGUCCAGGAUGGCCCAUAUCUCUAUGUUGGGGGUAUAGCUCAGUUGGUAGAGCGCCUGCUUUGCAAGCAGGAUGUCAGCGGUUCGAGUCCGCUUACCUCCACUGAUCACCACCUCUUCCAUAAUCGGUAGAAAGGAAAUUUUUUGAGUUGUGAUCAAAUUCUGAAAGAAUCUAGCUUCCUAAUGAAAUCAUUAAGAUGCUGGACUCAUUGAAUUAAUUUCAUUGUUUUCAGAGAACCUUGACAACCGCAUAGAUUAUUUUUAAAGACAAUAAGCAUCUUUAAAUGAUGCAGAUUUAUUAUUUGUGCAAAUGCAUUAAUAACAGUUCUAUUAAGCUGAUGCUUCAAUAUUUGAAGUUAUUGGUCAAGCUACAA
rnacentral:misc_RNA from 1 species